UACGAAGGGGGCUAGCGUUGCUCGGAAUCACGUGGGCGUAAAGGGUGCGUAGGCGGGUCUUUAAGUCAGAGGUGAAAUCCUGGAGCUCAACUCCAGAACUGCCUUUGAUACUGAGGAUCUUGAGUUCGGGGAGAGGUGAGUGGAACUGCGAGUGUAGAGGUGAAAUUCGUAGAUAUUCGUCAAGAACACCAGUGGCGGAAGGCGGCUCACUGGCCCGAUACUGACGCUGAC
rnacentral:rRNA from 1 species